UACGGAGGGUGCGAACGUUAAUCGGAAUCACUGGGCGUAAAGCGCGCGUAGGCGGUUUGCUAAGUGGGAUGUGAAAUCCCCGGGCUUAACCUGGGAAUUGCAUUUCAAACUGGCCGACUAGAGUACGGUAGAGGGAGGUAGAAUUUCCUGUGUAGCGGUGAAAUGCGUAGAUAUGUGGAGGAACACCGAUGGCGAAGGCAGCCCCCUGGGUCAAAACUGACGCUCAUGCACGAAAGCUAGGGGAGCAAACGGG
rnacentral:rRNA from 1 species